UGCGCAGGCGGGCUUGUAAGUCAGUGGUGAAAUACUGCCGCUUAACGGUAGAACUGCCAUUGAUACUGCAAGUCUUGAAUAUGGUUGAGGUAGGCGGAAUGUGUUGUGUAGCGGUGAAAUGCAUAGAUAUGACACAGAACGCCGAUUGCGAAGGCAGCUUACUAAGCCAUUAUUGACGCUGAGGCACGAAAGCGUGGGGAGCGAACAGGAUUAGAUACCCUGGUAGUCC
rnacentral:rRNA from 1 species